rnacentral:tRNA from 1 species
GCCCCCAUAGCUCAACGGUAGAGCAGUGGACUUUUAAUCCAUUGACGAGGGUUCGAUUCCUUCUGGGGGCA